rnacentral:rRNA from 1 species
AUUGAACGCUGGCGGCAGGCCUAACACAUGCAAGUCGAACGGUAACAGGAAGCAGCUUGCUGCUUUGCUGACGAGUGGCGGACGGGUGAGUAAUGUCUGGGAAACUGCCUGAUGGAGGGGGAUAACUACUGGAAACGGUAGCUAAUACCGCAUAACGUCGCAAGACCAAAGAGGGGGACCUUCGGGCCUCUUGCCAUCAGAUGUGCCCAGAUGGGAUUAGCUUGUUGGUGGGGUAACGGCUCACCAAGGCGACGAUCCCUAGCUGGUCUGAGAGGAUGACCAGCCACACUGGAACUGAGACACGGUCCAGACUCCUACGGGAGGCAGCAGUGGGGAAUAUUGCACAAUGGGCGCAAGCCUGAUGCAGCCAUGCCGCGUGUAUGAAGAAGGCCUUCGGGUUGUAAAGUACUUUCAGCGGGGAGGAAGGUGUUGUGGUUAAUAACCACAACAAUUGACGUUACCCGCAGAAGAAGCACCGGCUAACUCCGUGCCAGCAGCCGCGGUAAUACGGAGGGUGCAAGCGUUAAUCGGAAUUACUGGGCGUAAAGCGCACGCAGGCGGUCUGUUAAGUCAGAUGUGAAAUCCCCGGGCUCAACCUGGGAACUGCAUCUGAUACUGGCAGGCUUGAGUCUCGUAGAGGGGGGUAGAAUUCCAGGUGUAGCGGUGAAAUGCGUAGAGAUCUGGAGGAAUACCGGUGGCGAAGGCGGCCCCCUGGACGAAGACUGACGCUCAGGUGCGAAAGCGUGGGGAGCAAACAGG